CAGUGAUAUUUGUUCAGACUAUCUGGUGGAAGUAUGAACAUGUGAAGCUACAAAGCAAAAGAAAUCUCAACUGUAAACCUCUCUUCGGAACACAUGAUCAUAGCCCUCAAUGUAGUAGAAAAAGCAAUGGGCAGAAUUUCUCGAUAUUGACUGCAGGGGCUCUUGCAGCGCUAUUUGUUCAGGCUAUCUAGUGGAAGUAUGAACAUAUGAAGCUACAAAGCAAAAGAAAUCUCAACAGUAAACCUCUCUUCGAAACACAUGUAGCCCUCAAUGUAGUAGAAAAAGCAAUGGACAUAAUUUCUCGAUACCGACUGCAGGGCAGGUGUCCUGAAUGUAGUAGGCCAGGGGAGAGCUACAUACAUCAAGGAUGAACUAUUACUGAUAAGAAUUCUGACCACCCAUGGAUUCCAUAGCACCUACAAUUUUGGAGUGCAGAAAACAAAAGUAUUAGUUAGAAACAAUGAAGUACAUAACAUAUUGCAAGUUUAAAAAUCAAGUAUAUCUUCCCAUGACCCCCCUUUCACCAGUCAUAUAAUGUGGAGUAUAAUGAAAAGGGAACUAAUCUUAUAUGUUCUUUAUUAACAUUAUUUACCUCUGCUUAUUUGUCAGUUAUGUUCUAAGAGUCGUCCACCUUAGGGUCUUGCUUCUUCAUCUUCCUCCACGUAUAUUUGGUGAUAAGAUCUAUCUUCUUCAGCUUGUUCUUUUUCAGGACCUUCCCCUUACCCCUUCUCAGAAUCAUCUCUUGUGGUAUCCCUGGAAUUAGUAUGCAACACUGAUAAAUUUAGGCUAAUGUAAAAAUAUAUGUGGUACUUAAGACCUUGUACAGAAAAAAGAAAGACAUAGUUUGUAGAACAUGCCAUGUAUAUUUUUAUGGUUCAAAAGAAGACACUCCGCUACCAUUAUCAUUUAUCAAUGUCUACAUCUUCUUUUCUCUCACAAACCCACAAGCAACAAAGUAAGCACACUAACACCAAAGAUAUUUAUGUAAAAAGAGUUAUUUAACAAAAAAUCCACUAUAAACCGAACCGAGCACAACCGAGUAAUUCAUAACAGCAGGUGAACAUCUAAAAUUUUAUCAAGAUAUCUCAAUGUGGUAGCCAAGGGGGCCUUUUCUGUCUUAAAAUUUCGUGAAGCAUGUUGAGCUUCCAAACACUAAUAAUCAGUAAACAAAGCCAUUUAGAUUUGUCGCUAAACAAGAAAACGUAGCAUGUGAUUCCCACCUACAGAAAGUUUAUGUACUUGGAAUUUCCAUCGCUAUCUCAUACAUUGUUAGCAUUGAAGGGAUCUAGAUGACAGAUAAUAAAAUCAGACUAAAAUCUAAUGGUAAAUAGUAAACUCUUACUUCCUAACAUUGGUAGCUCCAUGAUGCUACCGGUGGGUUCAAGCAUCCAGUGUUGUCACGGCAGUUUCUGAGCUCAACUUCCCGACACGAUCAAUGGCAAAGGAACAAGCAUCGAGUUGCCCACUGUUACAAUUUAUAUGGAAAAAUAUACGGAGAUGCAAGCCUGCCCAAGCAACCUUUUCCCAGAGUGUGUCCCUCUCCUGAGUUGAACAAUUAUUCACACCAUCUAAUUAUAAUGAAAAGAGGCCCCCGAUGUUUUAAUCAACGCGUUGCAGCUCGGACCUUCCCACUUUUAAUGGCAAUUUUAAGAUCCUCAGGAAUGGGGGGAGGUGUAACCUCAGGGACAGGAGGAAUUGUUCCUUCCUCAACCUGCAAAAAAUAUAUGUAACCCCAAGCUUUGAUUCCCACUAACACAUUCCCAAAAAAAACUUGCAAAAGACAUCAGCCGUGAUGUACCAACUUCUGAAAUGUCUCCUUAAUCCUUUCAAGAGUUUCCAAUGAAGUAGGAACAACAGCCCCAGCAUCUCUUAGUGCCUGAUUCUUAGCUUGUGCAGAUUCCACCUCACCACCAUCGCACACUGUUAUACCAAAAAAAACACAUCUACGCAUAUUUAUUCAGCUCACCGGAACUCCAGGAAAAUUUGUUUACAACUUACAGCAUGGCCAAACUGGACUCGGAUUUCAACAGACGUGCACACGUCCUACUAACCCAAGCAACAACAGGUUUCUGAACCUUUCCUUGUUUCAAGGAUUCGAGGAGCAAAUACUCAUCACUUCCUCCAAGCUCCCCAAGAACAACCAUCAUUUUAACCUCAAGCCAACAAAUGAGGUCAAACUAAAUUAUCUGGACUCGAUCAAACUAAAGUAUCUUAACAGGUCCGUGUAACUGAACUAAUUAAUCAAAAAGCAACCUAGUGGGCAUUACCUCAAACAGAUUGUGUGCACCGUAAUGCAGGAUCAACAGCAACCAAACAUGGGCCUGUCUGGCGGGGGAGGGGGGGGUGGGACUUCAGCUGAUGUGUGGCCUUGACCACCUUCUUCCUCCUCUCCGGCGCCUGGAUCUCCCCUCUCAUUUACCUCACGGCUGUUGCAAUACACCGCAUGACUACUUGAUGAUCGUACCAUGUGUGCUUGACAAUUUGUCGAUCCUGAGGAAGGAAAAAAAGCAUAAUUAACAGUACGUCCUGAAAUGCACAAGAAAAUACUUACUCAAGCAAGGUAAAAGCCCGGUGUAAGUAACAACACAGUGAACAAAUCAGAUAUGCUUGCAUGUAUCUCAGUAUCAGGAUCAUUCUCAAGCGAUCUAGAUUUAUUUAACUUCCAGAUGAAAACUCAAAGAUGUCACACAUUAGAUUUACUGACCUACAAUGUAGCUAAGAAUCUGAAGACUCCAAUUAGCAACUUGACAAGCAAUUAGAUAAAGAUAAUACUGAAGCUGCUCAAACAAAAAUGUCAGGCAGUGAACAAAUCGUUGUUAAACCAAUCACUGCUGCAGUAUGGGGUCAGCGCAGUGACGCAUGUCUCGUGCCUGCUCACUG
rnacentral:lncRNA from 1 species